rnacentral:rRNA from 1 species
UACGUAGGGUGCAAGCGUUGUCCGGAAUUAUUGGGCGUAAAGAGCUCGUAGGCGGUUUGUCGCGUCUGCUGUGAAAACCCGAGGCUCAACCUCGGGCCUGCAGUGGGUACGGGCAGACUAGAGUGCGGUAGGGGAGAUUGGAAUUCCUGGUGUAGCGGUGGAAUGUGCAGAUAUCAGGAGGAACACCAAUGGCGAAGGCAGAUCUCUGGGCCGUAACUGACGCUGAGGCGCGAAAGCUAGGGGAGCAAACGGG